rnacentral:rRNA from 1 species
UACGAAGGGGGCUAGCGUUUGUUUCGGAAUCACUGGGCGUAAAGCGCACGUAGGCGGAUGUGUCAGUCAGGGGUGAAAUCCCGGAGCUCAACUUCGGAACUGCCUCUGAUACAGCACGUCUUGAGUCCGGAAGAGGUGGGUGGAAUUCCUAGUGUAGAGGUGAAAUUCGUAGAUAUUAGGAAGAACACCGGUGGCGAAGGCGGCCCACUGGUCCGGUACUGACGCUGAGGUGCGAAAGCGUGGGGAGCAAACAGG